GGCUGGUUGACGAUUCUAUGAUUCUUGGCCCAGAGGUUGCCUUUGUACCUUUCUUUAAUAACUGUUAUUUUGGUGGGUCUAACUGACUUUACAGAUAGCACAGCACACAGUAGCGUUUGAGGGGAUUUCACGUCAUUGGGUAGGGGAUUGAGUUGGAACCGCACCCCAGAGGGCGGCAGCAGCUGAACACAUUGAGAGAAGUUGAGGAGGUGAUGAGGGCAGGAACUGCAGUGGCACCGGGUGUUUUCAGUUGUCCCUGACAAAAGGCGUGUUGCAGGGUGAAGCAGAGAGAACACUGAGAUCUUCCCCAGCUGGGCAGGAAUCCCACAAAAGAAAGGUGGCUGGUGGUUUGAUAGCAACGCCUGUGCCUGAUCUGCUUCAAAAUCUCACUGCCCUUUAGAAGAGCUGCACUGACGAUGCUUGGUGCCGACAGGUGAAAGCAGUGGGAGGCAGGUUAUGGGCAAGCUGAAGGAGAUGGUUCUUUAUGCCACUUGUGGCC